rnacentral:rRNA from 1 species
UUUUAUGGAGAGUUUGAUCCUGGCUCAGGAUGAACGCUGGCGGCGUGCCUAAUACAUGCAAGUCGAGCGAACGGACGAGAAGCUUGCUUCUCUGAUGUUAGCGGCGGACGGGUGAGUAACACGUGGAUAACCUACCUAUAAGACUGGGAUAACUUCGGGA